rnacentral:rRNA from 1 species
GACGAACGCUGGCGGCGUGCUUAACACAUGCAAGUCGAACGAUGAAGCUGGAGCUUGCUCCGGUGGAUUAGUGGCGAACGGGUGAGUAACACGUGAGAAAUCUGCCCUUCACUCUGGGAUAACUGCGGGAAACUGUAGCUAAUACCGGAUACUUUCCCUGGUGGGCAUCCACUAGGGAAGAAAGAAUUUCGGUGAAGGAUGAUCUCGCGGCCUAUCAGCUAGUUGGUGAGGUAAUGGCUCACCAAGGCGACGACGGGUAGCCGGCCUGAGAGGGUGACCGGCCACACUGGGACUGAGACACGGCCCAGACUCCUACGGGAGGCAGCAGUGGGGAAUAUUGCACAAUGGGCGAAAGCCUGAUGCAGCAACGCCGCGUGAGGGAUGAAGGCCUUCGGGUUGUAAACCUCUUUUAGCAGGGAAGAAGCGAAAGUGACGGUACCUGCAGAAAAAGCACCGGCUAACUACGUGCCAGCAGCCGCCGCGG